AGGUUCAUCUGCAUCUCGUUAUUGGGCCAUGAGAAAGAGCAGCCCGACAGGGAACAAGUCUGGCCAGCUAGCAAGGAGAUAAGGACAGUGCUGCGUUCAGCGGCUGGCAGCUUGCAAGGAGACAGGCUUCAGGAGGACUCCAGCAGCUACCGGGUGAAGUUUCCCCCGAGGACCCUCCCGAGGGCUGUUCCAUGCAUGCGCAAAUCUGCAUGUCCCUUUCACUGCUAGGGAAACAUGGAGAUCAGGAGUGGAUGGGCUCCAAGGGACACAAUUGGAAAAACUGGUUAUUUUUACCAAGGCUUUAACUGGAAUGAUGUGCUCUCCUUUAAGGAAUCGAACUUCACUUAUAAAGCCAAUAAAGUCCUUGGAAACUGGCCUCGUAUUUUGUGUACACAGUCCCUGUACGGGGUUUCUCAUCUGUGGUCUCCAAAAUACUAUUUUCAAAUUUUUCCUCCUUCUUUUCCUUUUUCCCCAUUUUUCCUAAUUUGAAACCACUGAAACCUAAGCUGUGCCUUCUUGAAGCCCCGUGAACUGAAGACUAGACAACUUAAACUCCAGAAGAAAACAGCAGCAACCUAUUUAUAUGUGUUGCUGUUGCAUACUAUUAUGUUUCAGCAGGCACUGCCUCUAAGCCCCCAAAACAGAGAGUGCUACUGGGAACAAAUUGAACUCUUCCACUCCAGCGCUGCGUUCGGUGCUCCGCAACAAUGACCACAUCUCGGCAGGAAGUAGCCAGAAAGAUUAUGAUGCCCCAUCUCCCUACAAUUCUCGUGAUAAAUAAAUAUACAAGCAUGACAGAAA